rnacentral:tRNA from 1 species
CGGAGUGCGCCAGAGUUGGAGAGCUGGGGCAGACUGUAAAUCUGUUGCCUUUGGGCUGAGUAGGUUCGAAUCCUACCACUCCGA